GCUCCUGAAGUGGAUAUUUAAUUUUAGAUAUUGUUAAUAGAGAUUAAGUGCAGUUAUAAUAAGGUUACUCUAUCGUGCGCGUUUUUUAGUUUGUUAUUUUAUUUUAUCGUAUAUUGUGUAAAUAAUAUUUACACAAUAAAUAAAUCUGUAAACGGCCAUCAAAACGUUGUUAAAUUUUAAUCGUGAAAAGUUCUUACUGCAAGACUUUACAAACUCGGCGUCAUAGGUUAAGGCACAACUAAAAUAUAAAUACAAACUCGCUUGAAAUACGCAGGAAAACAAAGUGAAAUUACAAAGCGAAGAAUUGGUAAGCCACAUAUUUACCGCAGCAGGGAAUUCGUCAUGAUCACUAGGCAGGUGGAGGUACACUGUACAGUUUAUUGAUCGCGCACCUGCUUAUAGGAGCUCUCUUGCUGGAAUCAAUAAUUUUUAUACGCUUGAUGACAAUUUCUUCUUUAAUAAUCCAUUUGAAAAUGGCGCUUAAACUUGCGGACGUAGAUUUUUCGCAAGGUUUUUUAACUUGUAAUAUGCCAUACAUACAAAAUUCGAGUAUCAGAAAUACCUGCUGCUAUAUUAUCUGUAUUUGUUAUUGUAACAAUGGAGUAUAGGAAUAAUUUAGUAGGUGGAAAAGUUUUUUAAAUAAAAGCAUGUAUUUUUAUUAAUAAAAUAUUCAUCACAAA